rnacentral:rRNA from 1 species
GAUGAACGCUAGCGAUAGGCUUAACACAUGCAAGUCGAGGGGUAACGUGUUGGAAGCUUGCUUCCGAUGACGACGACCGGCGGAUGGGUGCAUAACGCGUAUGCAACUUGCCUCACAGUGGAGAAUAACCCGGAGAAAUCCGGACUAAUACUCCAUACACUCUUAAGUACGCCUGUACAUGAGAGGAAAGAUUUAUCGCUGUGAGAUAGGCAUGCGUCCUAUUAGGUAGUUGGUGAGGUAACGGCUCACCAAGCCGACGAUAGGUAGGGGUGCUGAGAGGCAGAUCCCCCACAUUGGGACUGAGACACGGCCCAAACUCCUACGGGAGGCAGCAGUGAGGAAUAUUGGUCAAUGGAGGAAACUCUGAACCAGCCAAGUCGCGUGAAGGAAGAAUGUCCUAAGGAUUGUAAACUUCUUUAGCGAGCGAGUAAGGACUUCCACGAGAUGGGAGUUUGAAAGUAGCUCGAGAAUAAGUAUCGGCUAACUCCGUG